rnacentral:rRNA from 1 species
GAGUGGCGAACGGGUGAGUAAUGUAUCGGAACGUGCCUAGUAGCGGGGGAUAACUACGCGAAAGCUGUGCUAAUACCGCAUACGCCCUACGGGGGAAAGCAGGGGAUCGCAAGACCUUGCACUAUUAGAGCGGCCGAUAUCGGAUUAGCUAGUUGGUGGGGUAACGGCUCACCAAGGCGACGAUCCGUAGCUGGUUUGAGAGGACGACCAGCCACACUGGGACUGAGACACGGCCCAGACUCCUACGGGAGGCAGCAGUGGGGAAUUUUGGACAAUGGGGGAAACCCUGAUCCAGCCAUCCCGCGUGUGCGAUGAAGGCCUUCGGGUUGUAAAGCACUUUUGGCAGGAAAGAAACGUCAUGGGCUAAUACCCCGUGAAACUGACGGUACCUGCAGAAUAAGCACCGGCUAACUACGUGCCAGCAGCCGCGGUAAUACGUAGGGUGCAAGCGUUAAUCGGAAUUACUGGGCGUAAAGCGUGCGCAGGCGGUUCGGAAAGAAAGAUGUGAAAUCCCAGAGCUUAACUUUGGAACUGCAUUUUUAACUACCGAG